GUUUCUAUCCCAGUGCCACAAGCCACUAUGUUACCCUGAACACAUUUUGUGACCUCAGGGUGAUUUCACUAGAAUGAAAGUAUUGCAGUAAUGCCUUCCUGCCAUGUGGUCAUAGAUUAAAAGCUGCUAUACAGUUUGGAACUGGAAACCGAGCUCCCAAUGUAAAGGAGAUAAGCCAUCGUGCUUACAAUGUGGUGUGCAGAGCUCACUGAUGGGCAGUUUUUCUUAACAAUGCAUCAGGACUUUCGUUAUUUGGAAAGGAAGCUUAAAUGCUGGAGUGCGAUGGCAUGAUCUCGGCUCACUGCAACCUCUGCCUCCCAGGUUCAAGCGUUUCUCCUGCCUCACCCUCCCAAGUAGCUGGGAUUGCAGGCAUGCACCACUGUGCCCAGGAAGCUGAGAGUGCUGAGGGCACAUCUGAAACCACUGGAGGUUGGCGACAUGGAGGUCAGCAGAACUGAAGAAUUUGGAAGUGCUCAAAUUUUUAAAUAACCAGAUCGAGGAGCUGCCAACACAGAUCAGCAGGCUUCAAAAACUCAAACACCUGAACCUUGGCCACCCUGUGUGCACUCUAUCUAAGUGACAACGGUUUUGAAAUCCUGCCACCAGAUAUUGGGAAGCUCACAAAGUUGCAGAUACUCAGCAAUAGGGAUAAAGACCUGAUCUCACUGCUUAAGGAAAUUGGGGAGCUUACCCAGCUUAAAGAGCUCCACAUUCAGAGGAACCGCCUCACUGUUCUACGCCCAGAACUAGGCAAUGAUGGGACCUCUUCUCCUGCAUUUGUUACCCAGAUAAUUUUGCCUUUGGAGAAGAGAAGAAAAUCACAUUGGUCUGCUCGGAAUGCAACAAAACAAAGUGUUAUUGACACCAAAACCUUAUUUGCACCAAUCCAAACAGCCUAUGGGACAUAUGUCUGCAAUGCUGCACACACCUGGGGCUAGCCAGCUUAGUGCCCUACGAUAUGUGCCAAUAAUCGAUAGCAUUUUUUACUACAGUAAUUAUGAGAAGCAUAGUAUUUUCUAGCAUGCUUGUGAAGAGUGGAAACAAAUAUUAAUCCCCUUCAGAGAGUAAAGGACAUUAUGAAUUGAGAAUUUCCUCCCAAUUUAUUCUCCAGAAUGAACAGAAUUAACAGUGAGUGGAUGUACGUCCAAAAUUUCUUCUGUUAUAUCUCUUAAUCCUUUUCCUGCGGACAUCGAGAAACUAAAGAAAAAUAACUUUCUUUACUGAGGCAGGCAAGAAGGAAAUCCAGUAUUCUUUGUUUGAUCAAUUAAGUCUCUGUAAGUGUCUCAUUUAUCUUCUCUUUUGUUAUUGUCACUCUGUCAACUGGUUCCCAAUUAUUUUAUCCAGAGGUUUAAAACUUUUUUAAAUGUAAACAGUAGAGAAUAGAGGUUAAGUGCUGCACUCUUCAUCACUAGGCUUGGGUUCAAACCUCACUCUCCCACUCCCUUGUUCUGUGACCUUCAGAUACUGAUAUGGUUUGAAAGGAAAGGAAAGGAAAAAACAGAUCAAAAUGUUUCAAUAAUCAUGAACGUAUAUGUAUCUGAUAAUGUACCCUUUAUUUAUGCUCAAUGAGAUUUAACAUGUUCAUCUCAGAAAGGGAUAGAUCAAGCUGCAAAAAGUUUGCAUACAUAGAAGAUCUAAAUAGCAUGACUAACAAGUUUAAAAUAUUAAUGUAGAAUCAUAAAAAUAUAAUUUUUUCAAGCACACAUAUAAUAUUUGUAAAAAUUGACCAGGUACAAAUCACAUAGUAAUUCUCAAUAAAUUUUAGAAAAAGGAAUAGCAUUGUAUAAACUGUGUUUAUUUAUCACAAUGAGGUAGAAGUAGAAAUUAUUAACAAUUAUUAACAAAAGUAGAAAUUAUCAAAAAUGUUAGCUAAUAAAAAAUUAAAAGUCCA
rnacentral:lncRNA from 1 species